UGAGGAAUAUUGGUCAAUGGGCGAGAGCCUGAACCAGCCAAGUCGCGUGAGGGAAGACGGUCCUACGGAUUGUAAACCUCUUUUGUCGGGGAACAAAAGGCGCCACGCGUGGUGUAUAGAGUGUACCCGAAGAAAAAGCAUCGGCUAACUCCGUGCCAGCAGCCGCGGUAAUACGGAGGAUGCGAGCGUUAUCCGGAUUUAUUGGGUUUAAAGGGUGCGUAGGCGGCUUUGCAAGUCAGCGGUGAAAGGCCCGGGCUCAACCCGGAAAGUGCCGUUGAUACUGUGAGGCUGGAAUGCGGAUGCUGUGGGAGGAAUGAGUGGUGUAGCGGUGAAAUGCAUAGAUAUCACUCAGAACACCGAUUGCGAAGGCAUCUCACAAAUCCGCAAUUGACGCUGAGGCACGAAAGCGUGGGGAUCGAACAGGAUUAGAUACCCU
rnacentral:rRNA from 1 species